UACGUAGGUGGCAAGCGUUGUUCGGAAUUACUGGGCGUAAAGCGCGUGUAGGCGGCUCUUCAAGUCAGACGUGAAAGCCCCGGGCUUAACUCGGGAACUGCGUUUGAUACUGUCGAGCUAGAGUGUGGAAGGGGCGAUUGGAAUUCCGUGUGUAGCGGUGAAAAUUCGUAGAUAUUCGCAAGAACACCAGUGGCGAAGGCGGACUCACUGGCCCGAUACUGACGCUGAGGCACGAAAGCGUGGGGAGCAAACAGGG
rnacentral:rRNA from 1 species